ensembl:lncRNA
UGUAUGUGUAUGUAUGUGUUCUCACCUGUGAUUGCAGGUUUUAACACGACACUGGAACAGGGUGGGGCAACAAUUCGUUCAUCCUGUUCGCAGUUAUUCCCGGAUAUUUAACAAUUAGCUUGCCUUUAAAACUCAUUCCUGGACAUCAUUGGAUAAUAAUAACAAUAAUUUUUUUAAAAAAGGAUAUAACUUGAGAAGCGAACUGCACAAUGCCUAACGUUGCCAACAACCCACUGGAUGAUGGAGUUCUGAGUCAGGGCUUGCUGAACUGCAGGGCUCAGAACUGUAAUAAUGUGGGAGAUUGCGUGAUUCAGGACGGAUUGCAGCAUUUGUCCAGCAAAGGAGGAGAGAACGUUUAUGGGAACAAACCAACGAGAAAAGGGAGGAAUUGAAAAAGAACGGUGAUUUUUCUCACACAAAAAUAGGAAAAAGGGGAUUUUUGUAUGUAUAAAGUAUUUCCACUUCGACAAGAACGAAUACUCAUCUGCAUUGUUUGCUUGGAAGCAUGCCUUAAAAGUUUGGGAACUUUUAUACUUCAUACAAAUUCCACAUUUCUACUUUUAAAGGAAUGGAGACGACGCGUGUCUUGUGCUUGGGUGCUCAAAGGCUCUGGUUGCUAAAUGCUAAUGACUGAUAUUUUCUGUGUCUAGCUGUUUAGGCCAAAGUUUUUCUCAAUGUAUUUUCUCAGCGCAAAAGCAUUUUAAAUGCCUUGUGUUGGAAACAUGAAAUGUCACCGAUACUGAUAAUCUCAUUUUACUCUCAAUCUGGUGGGACUGAGGCAAUAACUAUGCAGUAUUUUACGUGCUUAAACUAUCAAGUAUUUCAGUAAUGUGUUGUGCUUGUGUUUGUAUAGCUUCAGAUCUAACUGGUCACUUCAAACCAUGCGGCAUUUAGAUUGACUUCAAGAAUUAUGUGCUCUGUAUUGGGUUGUUUGGGGAAACUCUUGUAUAUUUGAGACAGAUUAACACAUUUCAGUGCCCUUGAGUCUUGAGAAAGAGCAGUAGAAUUAGAUGGUCCACUGUGUUCACAUGUGCUGAUUUAUCCUCUAAAUAUGGCCUGGAAAUCACUCAGGGGAUUUUAUGUUCCAUAAUUGUUUUAUGAAAGC